GCAGGAUUGGACAAAACAAGAUGGCAGACGGCAGUUCCAAACAAAGAUCCAGUCAGGAGCGGACUUCCUUAAGCUUAAAAGUUGCAAGUGAAUGAAGUGUGUUCUAUUUUAUGUCUCCUACUAAAACCAUGGUUUUGACAAACCUAAAAGAGCACGUGGAGCAAGGAACUAUCAGUAAAACGAAAGAGCCAGCUGGCUCGAAAAUCUUUAAGUGUUUGAGAAUUUUACCACGCACAUGAAUCUAAAGUUCUGCCACACGUUAGAAGGAGCCUUGUUCUCGAAGAUCAACAUGUUGAAACGUCUUCAUUUUGCAGAAGCAAAUACAUUUAUAUUGUAUAUACACAUGUAGACUAUGUUCGAUUCCCAACCACUUAACAUUUGUGAUAUCUGCAUGGAAUUAUUAAAACUAAGCAUGGUUUGACGUAUAAUAAUCUCUUCAGGCAUGAUGGUUUACAUUUCACAAAGCUGUUCAAUGACAAUAAAGACAAUAAGAUGU